UCGCUGUGAUGAUGGAUUCCAAAAUCAUUCGUAGUUUCCACCAGAAAUACUGUGUUAGCCUGGCUAGUUCCUUCCUUGGAUGUCUGAGUGA
ensembl:snoRNA SNORD14 Small nucleolar RNA SNORD14